rnacentral:lncRNA from 1 species
GAAAAGAUUCCACUGAACCAAUAGAUAUCAGUGAUUCUGCUAACGAUAGUGAAAGUCAUCCUACACAAUAACCCUCCUCUCUCACCUCCCUCACACCAGGCACGGAGGUUCUCAAAGCCUCCCCUCGUGGAUCAGCCUCCAGGCCCUGUUGCUCAUCCUCUGACCACACCUUCCAGACCUGUGGCCUCCGCCUGUGCUGUACCCCUGUGUGGCUGCUUCAGGAUGUCUUGCUUUCAGGCCAUGUCCAUUUGCUUCAUUCACUGCUGGACACAGGUCCCC